rnacentral:rRNA from 1 species
AGUGAACGCUGGCGGUAGGCCUAACACAUGCAAGUCGAACGGCAGCACAGUAAGAGCUUGCUCUUACGGGUGGCGAGUGGCGGACGGGUGAGGAAUACAUCGGAAUCUACUUUUUCGUGGGGGAUAACGUAGGGAAACUUACGCUAAUACCGCAUACGACCUACGGGUGAAAGCAGGGGAUCUUCGGACCUUGCGCGAUUGAAUGAGCCGAUGUCUGAUUAGCUAGUUGGCGGGGUAAAGGCCCACCAAGGCGACGAUCCGUAGCUGGUCUGAGAGGAUGAUCGGCCACACUGGAACUAGGACACGGUCCAGAUUCCUACGGGAGGCAGCAGUGGGGAAUAUUGGACUAUGGGCGCAAUCCUGAUCCAGCCAUACCGCGUGGGUGAAGAAGGCCUUCGGGUUGUAAAGCCCUUUUGUUGGGAAAGAAAAGCAGCAGGUUAAUACCCCGCUGUUCUGACGGUACCCAAAGAAUAAGCACCGGCUAACUUCGUG